GAUUAAGCCAUGCAUGUCUAAGUGCAUGCCAUAUUAAGGCGAAAUCGCGAAAGGUCAUUAAAUCAGUUAUGGUGCCUUGGAUCGUGCCUUACUACUAGGAUAACUGUGGCAAUUCUAGAGCUAAUACUUGCAGCAGAGUUCCGACCCUCCGGGGACGAGCGCUUUUAUUAUACCAAAACGAAUCGAACCUCGUUUCCGUAUUAUAAGGUGACUCUUCAUAACUUUGGGGUGAUCGCACUGGCUCGUCCGGGCAACAUAUAUUUCAAGUGUCUGCCUUAUGAAUUGUCCAUGGUAGGUUACGCGCCUACCAUGGUCGUAACGGGUGAUGGGGAAUCAGGUUUCGAUUCCGGAGAGAGAGCCUGAGAAACGGCUACCUACAUCCAAGGAAUGCAUCGCAGGGC
rnacentral:ncRNA from 1 species